rnacentral:rRNA from 1 species
AGCAGUAGCCACGGGAAUACAGAGGGUGCGAGCGUUAAUCGGAUUUACUGGGCGUAAAGCGUGCGUAGGCGGCUUUUUAAGUCGGAUGUGAAAUCCCUGAGCUUAACUUAGGAAUUGCAUUCGAUACUGGGAAGCUAGAGUAUGGGAGAGGAUGGUAGAAUUCGAGGUGUAGCGGUGAAAUGCGUAGAGAUCUGGAGGAAUACCGAUGGCGAAGGCAGCCAUCUGGCCUAAUACUGACGCUGAGGUACGAAAGCAUGGGGAGCAAACAGGAUUAGAUACCCCUGUAGUCCCUGUCUCUUAUAA